CUUCAGCUCCCAUUGGAUCAACCCAACCAGAAGACAGAAGGCAAAGGAUUCCAGGUGAUACAGUCUGUAGAGGUCAGCCUCCUGGGGAACAAGGAAUCACCUCAGGAUGCACGCGGCAUGAAAGAGGUCCAGAAGCCCUUAUGUGCUCACGGUGAGGAAAAGAGGAGAUUGCUGAGAUGCAGGAAAAACAAUCCAGUGAGCAAAGUGUCAUCAAUGCAGUGGCCCAGUGUGAUGCUUUGUGGACUCUCAAG